rnacentral:rRNA from 1 species
GUGUGCCUUCGGGAACUGUAAGACAGGAACUGAAUGGCUGUCGUCAGCUCGUGUUGUGAAAUGUUGGGUUAAGUCCCGCAACGAGCGCAACCCUUAUCCUUGUUUGCCAGCACUUCNGGUGGGNACUCCAGGGAGACUGCCGGUGAUAAACCGGAGGAAGGUGGGGACGACGUCAAGUCAUCAUGGCCCUUACGAGUAGGGCUACACACGUGCUACAAUGGCGCAUACAGAGGGCGGCCAACUUUCGAAAGUGAGCGAAUCCCAAAAAGUGCGUCGUAGUCCGGAUUGGAGUCUGCAACUCGACUCCAUGAAGUCGGAAUCGCUAGUAAUCGUGGAUCAGAAUCCCACGGUGAAUACGUUCCCGGCCCUUGUCCCCCCCCCCCCUCUCACCAUGGGAGUGGUUUGCAAAAGAAGUGGGUAGUUUAACCUUCGGGAGGACGCUCACCACUUUGUGGUUCAUGACUGGGGUGAAGUCGUAACAAGGUAACCG